UUAGGCAUAGGAGAAAGGUUUUCUUAAAAAAAAUAAAAAACAAAUUACUUAGAACGAUGAAUGAUAACAGGAACAUCAACAACAACCUAAUUGUUGCAAGUAUGGCCAUGUGUCACAAAGUUGGCGCAAGCUUCGUCUUUAUCUCCACUGUCUUUAAUAACGACAACUGAGUGUUGAUCGUUCUCAUGAAUGAACCCUCCACUAUGGAAAAUUGGUUGCAUAACUUUGACAUUGGCG
rnacentral:lncRNA from 1 species